AAAAGGGGGGGGGGGGUUGUUGCUUUGAGGGAAGUUACGCUUAUUUUUUUUUUCAAUCUUUUUUUUUUUUUUUUUUUUUUUUUUGUCCUGAGAGAGAAUCUUGCUCUGUCGCCCAGGCUGAAGUUCAGUGGUGAGAUCUCGGCUCACUGCAACCUCCGGCUCCCGGGUUCAAGCAAUUCUCCUGCCUCAGCCUCCUGAGUAGCUGGGAUUACAGGUGUGCGCCACCACACCUGGCUAAUUUUUUUUUUUUUUUGAGAUGAAGUCUUGCUCUGUCGCCCAGGCUAUAGUGCAAUGGCGCGAUCUCAGCUCACUGCAACCUCCACCUCCUGGGUUCAAAGUGAUUCUCCUGCCUCAGCCUCCUGAGAAGCUGGGACUACAGGUGCGUGCCACCACGUCCGGCUAAUUUUUGGUAUUUUUAGUAGAGAUGGGGUUUCACCACAUUAGCCAGGAUGGUCUCCAUCUCCUGACCUCAUGAUCCACUCACCUUGGCGUCCCAAAGUGCUGGGACUACAGGCGUGAGCCACCGCACCCAGCUAGAGCACUCAUCAUUAUCAAGAACUUUGGAGGCCCUGAGAUUCGAGACAAUUGAAGGGAUCCAGAAUAAGCCAUUGUGCCAUAAAAAUUUUUGUGAGCUGAAAGCAUUUGGGGUCCUGAAGUCCCUUAUCUUCCUAAAAGCAGAGGCUCCCAAAAGAACUCAAAAGAACUCAGUUAUCAUAAAUCCCCUCCCUGGGAACAACUCUAAUCUUGAGAGAGAAUUUGGCCAGCACACCCAAAGAGACAUUAUCAGAAAACUGUCAUAUCUCCCAUCUGUUCUCCUAAGGGCCCAUUUAUCUUUCCUGAAAGUCAUUUGUUUUUCCAGAAGUGCUCUUUUUCCUUCCCUCGUCUAAGAAGUCAUUUAUUUUCCUGGUAAGUACUCUUUUCCCACUCUGCGUCACCUAUUAGGUGGUAUAAAGCCCUAAAGUCUAUCCACCUCUUUGAGUUGCAUUUCUUUGUAAAUGCCUGUACAUGAUUAAAAUUCAUCUUUUCUCUUGUGAAUCUGUUUUUUGUCAGUUUAAUUUUAGACCCCCAAUUACAAAACCUAAGAGCAGAGGAAAAAAUUUUCUUCCCCACAAGGUCAACCUCUUAUUCAUAAACUAAAAACACAAAAUACAUAAAAUAAAUAUAAG
rnacentral:lncRNA from 1 species